UUUUCGAAGCUGUGGAAUGGUUUCUCGAUUUUUCAAGUUUAAUUCGGAUCUUAAAUCGUUGCAUUCUUCUGUUAGGUUACGGUUGGUUGUUCGUAACUGGUGGUUCGUAUUUUCCAUGUCUGCUAAUUGUCGGUGUAAGCGAGCAAUCUGCCCUAUAUAAUUAGCUCUGGAUCCGCGUAAUAGAAGGUCUGCGUACACAAAUUUUACUUCUACGUAAUUUUGAGCCAGAAGUAGCGUUCCUGUGCAGUCUUGUUUUACGCAAUGGUAGACCACUAAGGCAUCGCGUUCAAGGUUUCCGUAAGUUUCUUCUACGCAGCUUCGAUGAGCGGUGUGUCCGCAUGUGUAAGCUUUAAUCACCGGUGUGUUUUCCAUGUAACUCUUUAAACAGAUAGAGCAGGCUGGAACGGCAAAGUAGCUUGAUGGUUCAUAUACGUUCAUUUUGGAUUAUCUAUUGAGAAAAUAUCAUCAUGUGUUACUCCAUGUGGUGUGAAUUCGAUUGACUUAUCUGAAUAAGUGUUUCUUACCUUCUUUACGUUCGUACGAGAUGUUUAACGAAAUUUUGCCUUGUAGCGUUUGACGUUGACUUGCUUGCGAAUAUUUUACGGAAUGUACACUAUAUUCACUGGAUAACUUUUGCGAAAACGAAAUUAUUACGUUGCUGAAUUAUACGGCAGUUUCUUUUCCGCGGAAUCGACGAUAAUGUCUAAUUGCCCACUCUGUGUGUGUUGGUACGUAAUUCCAUUCAGUUUCAAAUGAUUUAGUGAACGUUUCACGCUGCGUUUCACUCAAUAUUUCCAGUAUUAUAGAAUUCAUUGUCAGUUUUUUCUUUGUUAAACGUGGAUUAAUUCUGAUAAUGGCGUUAUCUUCGUCAUAAUUUAUCGCUGAAUUGCGUUUACGCAGGUUAUAACGUUGUUCUGCUUCUCGUUUAACUGAUUCACGUUCUUUUACAUCCGGAAUCGUUUUUUCCAGGGUAGUUUCGAAAUCUUUUUGUUCAUUAGUUGACAAUGAAGUUUUCAAUUUUCUUCUGAUUUUAUCGUAUUCGGAAUGUUUACGUCUCUUUUUAUUAGCCACUUUUUUAUCAUAUUCUUCAUUUACGAAAUUUUCGAGUAAAUCUUUAUGUUUCCAGAAUGCAAGAAUUUUUUGAUGUAAAGAGCGUUUAUCAAAUUUCGAUCGGAGUUUAGGCUCCUUUCUAAAUGCCUCAAGUUGAUGUAACGUGAGGUAAGUUACUAUUUGUCUUACGCUAAUGAGUGUUCUGUCUUUCUUUUCUUUCAGAUUUUGUAUUUCGUAACAAUUUCUGCCUGCCCUCUUCACAAUCGCAUAUGGCCCAUUCUGUUUGACAUAAAGUUUAGCGGAAGCAAGUUUAUCUGCUGAUGAUUGACGAUGAUUCGUAAUCAUCACCAGUUCACCAGAUGGAUUAAUGCCUGGUGGUAUGACAUUAGGUCUAUUCGAGCCGUGUCAACUUCUUCCGUAUAUACAGCCUUUCUUGCAAGUUGAUCCGCAGUGAAGUUUCCGUAAUCAGUUUUUCGAGCAUAGGUUUUCCGGAAUUAUUUUUCCAUUUGUUUUCUACCCAUCGAUCACAUUCAGAGUUGAUGGCUAACGUGACAUAUUGAGAAUCCGUGAAAAUCAUUAGUUUCGUAACUCCAUGGAAAUGUUCUUCGAUCCUUCCGGAUGCCAACAGAUUCCGAUACCAGCAAUUGCAUCUUCGUCACCGUUGUUUGCACAAGCUCCAUCUACCCAAACCCAUACGUGACCAUCGGAUGCUGUAUAGACGUCGUUUAACAUAUCUAAUUUCGUAGAUUUAAGUUCUUCUAUCGUGAUAGAUGGUACUUGUUUGUUUCUAGCAGUUUUACGUAAUUCCUUUAGCUCAUAGUGAGCAUUAAUCGGGACUCGGUCGAUAGGUAGGUUCAAAACAAAAUCAUUAAUUUCCCAAAGGUCAUUAGGUAGAAUGCCGACUUCGUUAGGGCAAUUGUUGAUUUCGUCUUCGACUUCUUUAGUGUAGUGAUGCCAUCCUUCAUGGGAAUACGCUCCUCUACAGUCAAAAUUGAUUUUUAGUCGUAAGCGUUCUCCGAUCAUUCUCAUUGAUCGUUCAACUGGGUUGGACUGUGGGUUAUAGGGUGUUGAAUUACCUACGGUGAUUUUUUGUUUUGUAAGGGUUUGAUUCCAAAGUGAAUUACGAAAUUGAACAGCAUUGUCUGUAUUGAUUUUUCUGAUUUUGUACCCUAAAUCCUUGAUGUUAUUGAUUAUGUUUAACAUGCAGUCUGCGACUGUUUCUUGUUUUAUGUCUAACAUAAGCUGUAACCAAAUUUUUCCGGAGAAAAUAUCUUUUGCUACUAAGAGGUAUUUAGGUUCAUUUGAACUGUUUGCAAUCGGUCCUAGGAUAUCUACAGAUAAUACGUCAGCUAGGCAAUGUGCUUCUACAAAUGAAAAUUCUACCGGUUUCUUUAUUCCAUAGGAUUUGUUUGAUUUACAUGCUAGGCAGGCACUGGUCAGGUAUCGAGCAUAAUGUUUUGAAUUUGAUGAAUAAUAAAAUCUUCGGAAAAUUUGGGUCAACUUGUUGGCACCAACAUGUCCAAAAAUAUCAUGUAUAUACAUCAUCGUGUCUGCGAAUAGUUCAUCGGGAAGGACAGGUACGAUUGAGUCAUCCUUAUAUCUGAACAUUAGGAAUUCUCUACCAUUGAUUUCGUGUAUCUCGUAUCUUUUAGCUAAUUGUUCUUUUGCAAGACGUUCUCUUUUUGUGAGUUCUGAGCCGGGUGUUCUUAACUUACGUGUAAUUUUCAUGCAAUUCGGAUCUCUCUUCUGCAUAACAUCGAUUUUGUCUAAACUGCUGAGCAGUUUGUCAACGAUUUUUUCUUGAUGUGUGUCUACUUGUGUUACGAAAUUGAUAACGUUGAUGCUGUUCAAAGUCAAUUCAGGAGCUUGAAUUCCAAACCACCGUUUAUGCUUUUUUCGCAAAUCAUAUAUCAAGUUGUAACAAUUGAGUUGAGUGAUCCAUAUAGCAGCUUUCCGGUGUACUUCGGCUAUGACCUCGAAUUGUGAAACAAUUGAUUUCAAAUCACUUCUAACAUGGAUGGUCCUUCCAUGUAGCCAAAGCUGCAACUUUUUGAUUGUUUUUGCAAGAUUGUACAUUUCUCGUUCUAUGAGAGUAUAUGACUUCUGGUGUUCUUUGAAUGAAAAACUAGAAAACAUUACUAUUUCGUCUUGACCUUCGAAUGUUUGGUAUAAAACUGCAUUCAUAGCAUCAGGUGAAGUAUAGGUAUCGAGCCAUAGAUCAAUUCCGUUUCGGGGGGAUUUUAGAGCAAAAUUUUCCGUGUAUUUUUCUUUAAGUAAUUCAAAAGCUUCUUC